ACAAUCUUUUAAACUUGUAGAUAAUGCGUUACGCAGUUUCUUGUGAAUGUUAAAGUGAGAGCAUGGAGGUUGAGGAGGGAAACUUACGGACUGCGCGGCCGGACGACGGGGGAGAGACCGAGGAGCGGAUCAUCUACGGGGUGGAGGAUGUUCCCCUCCCACACCUUACCGUGGUGUUUGCCCUACAGCAAGCCAUUCUAGCCCUAGGAAGCACCUUGUCCAUUCCUUUCAUUCUGACCAAUCAGCUUUGUUCCAGCACAAAUGCCGACGCACGUGCACAACUUCUGUGCAUUUCCAUGUUCAUGUGUGGAGUGGCCACUAUUUUACAGACCACAUUUGGUGUCAGGCUAGGAAUCAUACAAGGAGGCUCCCAUAACUUCCUGGCGCCUAUUAUAGCCAUGAUGGCGCUGGAAAAAUGGAAAUGUACCGAGGAAGAGUUACACAUUGACAGCAUAAGUGUAAACAGCAAUUAUACAAUAACUAUUGACAGAGACGAGGUCUGGCAGAGGAGAAUGCGAGAGAUCCAAGGAAACUUGAUGCUUGCCUCCAUCGUUCAGUUAGUGCUGGGGUGUACGGGCCUGAUGGGUUUCUUCCUGAGGUAUAUCGGCCCCCUCACUAUCGCCCCCACUAUCUCCCUCAUUGGUCUAUCUCUGACCGCUGUAGCAGCCGAUAUCAACCAAUACCACUGGGGGAUCGCCAUGCUAACUCUGACGCUGAUUGGCCUAUUCAGUUUAUAUCUGGGCCGUGUAAAGGUUCCGAUCCCUAGCUUCUCUAGAGAAAAGAAAUGUCACAUGACGACCUAUCCAAUUUUCCAGCUAAUGCCGGUAAUAUUAUACGGCUUUCAUUAGUCCUACUUGAACUUUUUAUUUAAUAUUCCAUACAUAAAUUCAUGAAUAGCAUUUCCGAAUGUAACAUCUCAUUUUAUGUUUUAAGGUUAUUCUCAGCGUGGCUCUGUGUUGGAUUCUCAGCUACAUUCUGACGGUCACUGACGUCAUAUCUCCAACCAUCGUCAUCAACAACAAAAACACCACCAAUCUCGCGCGCACUGACGCCAGACUGGACGUGCUCAAUACAAUGCCCUGGUUUUAUUUUCCCUAUCCAUUCCAGUUCGGCACGCCCACUGUGUCGGUCGCCGGGUUUGCUGGCAUGCUGGCCGCCACCAUCUCCUCCAUCAUUGAGUCCGUGGGCGACUACUUCGCCGCCGCCCGACUGUCUAAUGCUGAAGCGCCACCGCCACACGCCGUCAAUCGUGGAAUCGCCACAGAAGGCUUCGCCAGCAUUAUCUCGGGAAUGGUUGGCGCGGGGCAUCCUACCACCUCAUACAGCGGAAACAUCGGGGCCAUAGGAAUCACAAAGGUGGCCAGCCGGCGGGUGUUCCAGGUCGCAGGGGUCACACUCCUCCUCAGCGGCAUCAUCGGUAAAUUUGGCGCGGUGCUGACCCUGAUCCCGGACCCAAUCAUCGGGGGGACGCUGACGGUGGUGUUCGGGAUGGUGGGGGCGGUGGGGAUCUCCGUACUACAGUUCAUGGACAUGUCCUCCACCAGGAAUCUGACCAUCCUGGCCUUGUCCAUGAUCCUGGGGUUGAUGGUACCUCAGUGGUUACUGACCCAUCCGAACUCCAUCAAUACGGGAAGUGAGGAUCUGGACCAAGUCUUGGAGGUUCUUCUGACGACCGCCAUGUUUGUGGGCGGGGUCAUUGGGUUCAUACUCGACAACACUGUGCCGGGAACUAAAGAAGAACGCGGGCUUUUAAGAUGGCGAGAAACAUUAGAAGCGUCGCAAAAGAGGCGAAAGCCGGUCCAAUACAACAUGCCUUUCGUCACAAGAAUCAUCAAACGGAUAAAGUGCUGUGUAUACUUCCCAAUAUCUCCGACAUUCAGCAAAAGUCCCUUAACUUGUUGCAAGAAAACCAAAAAACAGAAAGCCUACGAACUCGAUGUUGUUACUACAGACAUUAAGCCAGUGCAACAGAACGGGGGUGGGACAUGAGAGAGAGAGAGAGAGAGAGAGAGAGAGAGAGAGAGAGAGAGAGAGAGAGAGAGAGAGUGUGUGUGUGUGUGUAUGUGUGUUUGUGCUAGUAUGUAUGGAUAUCUUAUUGAAUAACGUAAUCGCGCCUAUACUAUAGAAACCAGUUUUCCAUAGCUUGUGAUUAUUGAUAUGCAUUUACAUACAUAAUCAAAGUACUGAAGUACUGACGGGAGUCGAUUUUAUCGAUUAUCAUUUAUUUUAAAAUCAAUUUAUUUUGCAUGGCAAUUAGUUUCUAGUUUGUAUUUGAAUUACGCACUUUUUUAUAAUAUGAAUUUUUAGACUUUUCCGACAAGAAUUUCGAGAAACCUCAUAUGAAUCAUGUUGUGUAAUAUUUAAAGAUAGAGGUUCAACUAUACUAGUAUGUAUUAGUUAUCGAAACAAUUCUAAAAAUUGUAUGGAUCCAAGCACUAUUGAUAUCGAACUCUUGUCUCAUUUAACUAGACGCUCGACUGUCUCCGUUAAUAUCCGACAAGCAAGAGAGCCCCCUCUCUGCUCGCACAGAUUUACGGAGACAGCCGAGCGUCUGGUUGAACGAGACUAUAUUAACUCUGGCGUAGGAAUACAUGAGACUACAAAAAUAUCUAAAUUGUUCGUAGUAUAUAAAAUUUGACUAUUUUCAAAGUGUUUAUAGAUAAGUUUCCUUGAAAAACAAUGCUUCAGCAUACAUUACAUAAAUUUUUUUUCUUUUAUUUUCAAGAACUUAUAUAGUCUUGUCAGCGGUGAUGAUUUGUGCUUAGGUCCAAACACUGUUUCACUUUCGGUUUGCCAGAAUAACUGCAUAGGAGAGUUGAUUAAAAUCAACUCCCAAAAAUGAAUCAAAAAAUGAAGCAUGCUGAUGUUUCACUGGAGAACUUAUGUAACAAAGAAAUAUAUCAACUUAUAUUUGCAAUGACUUUAUUUCGCGAUUCACCAGAGAAACUGGUUCGCAACGACUAUUUUUUACGGCCACGCUUUAUCCAUACUCGUUUUGGUAUUACACCCAUACAAUAAA
rnacentral:misc_RNA from 1 species